ACACACACACACACACACACACACACACACACACACACACACACACACACUCACAAGGAGGAGGGGACACCGGAGCUGGACAUGUGACCCACCAAGUCCCUUUAAAGAGACGGAGACACUGCAGAGAUAACAUCAGUUAGCAGCAGAAGAAGAACAGGUUUGCCCAACAUCACAGGAAGUCACUGCAACAUCUUAUUUAUUCAUUUAUUUUAUUGAAUUGUACAUUUUGUCAUGUUUUGUGGUAGUUCGGUUGUAUUUAAUGUCUCUUUUAUUUUUAUUAAUUCUUUAUUUUUUUCAAGUUUGUUAAUAAAGUUUUUUUAAAGCAACGUUUCAGGUUUUACAUUUCUUUCUUUAUUGUUCAAAUGAGAGACUCGACUUUAAAUUUGACCACGUAUGGUCGACUCUUAUCCCUCCUGCCUUCCAUGUGUGGAUUACUCCACAGGCAUACCAGGCGCUGGCCCAGGGGCCUCAGGGGUCAGGCGGGCCCCUAAGUCAGGCAGCCUCAGUGUCAAGUGGCUGAAAGCUAAAAGAGUCCUUCUGGAAACCUGAAGGAAAAGCCUGAAACAUUCAGUUUGAGGUUGUGAGAAGAAGAAGCCUUCGUGACGCCUUCAGGAUCCUGUAGGACGUUUGGACGUUUGUGUGUUGAGCUGCAGAGGACAGACAGAAACUCAGGGAGGGACUUUUGUCCUAAAAAGUCAAUUCAGUUUUAUUCAUACAGCCCAAUAUCACUAAUCACACAUUUGCUUCAAGGGGAUUUAAAACCUGUCCUCAGACCCUCGAUUCAGAUCAGGACAAACUCCCCCAAAAAUGUUAGAAAGCUCAGGAGGAGCAGCAGAGGAGCAGCAGAGGAGCGCCCCCCCCCUCCCAGGACGGACAGACAGGAAACAUGACGUGUGCACGAACAGACCGACGUCAUAAAGUAACAGUGUGUGUGACGGCUGCGUGGCUGCUGUCCUGUCCCGUUCGGUCUCUCAGAGACGAGUUUCGGCUCGGUCUCUCGGCUCCGCUCACCUUUGUUGGUUUGUUCUCAGCAAACGACAUCCUUCACUCAUCCACGCACACACCCGAACUACCGAGCUCACCGAUUUAUUCACGUACGUAGUUUAACUUUGUUCCAAAGCGGGUGUUCUUCCACCUUCUUGGUCCGACCCGCGAGCCAGCAUGUGGACAGUCGGAGAGGAACGGGCUGUAACGCGUUUAAAGAACAUGGAUCCAGGAGGACGAGCAACUUCAGGUGUCACAUGACCUCGUCUCCACCACGGAGACCUGCAGGAGGACAGACUGCACAAACACACAGGAGGCAAAACUCAAGCUCACCGUUCACACAGAGAGGAGAGAGACGAGAGCAGAGGACCAAGAUCCAGAUCCAGAAGACCUGGAGAGAGGCGGAGGGUCCCGGGACGGCCGAUGGUCCAGCAGCUUGGGUUGGACCUCAGACUGCUGGAGCCUCAUACUGACUCCUGAAUAUAGUUUGGGACAUAAGAGAUUUACUGUCCAGCGUGAACAGGAGGGACGGUUACAGCCGCCUGCUGUCCUUUAAAGUUGACCGUCCAACGUUUUCUCUUUAUGUUUCCCUCGCAGUCUUGGGUCGCGGCUUCGUAGCUGUAUCAUGAUGCAUGUGACAAAUAAAUAUGGACUGACUGAAUUAUUCCAAAAAAACGUCCAAACACAAAACUCUAGCGGCAUAAAUAAAUUGAAAUCCUGUAGUUCUUUAUUAAAAACCUUUAUUAAUUCUACCUGGAACACAUUCAAUCUUCCACUGAGUCUUUCUACAGAAGGUUCGUGUUGCUCUUUAAGGUAAAACAGAGUCCUCGUCUUCGUACAGUUUGUCUGAAAACAGCGAAGAAGCGUUUCACCUGAAGUCAGCAGGACGACUGUACAUCCUGCGAACACACGCUAAUAAACACCAAUCCUCCGACUUCUAUCCCUGUGAGGACCGUCACUGACAGAAUGCAUUCCCCAGCCCCGCACCACCACCACCACCACCUUAACCUAAUUCUACCCUUAAACCCAAGUCUUCAAACACAAGGUCCUCACUCUGUAGGUAAAAACCGUGUUUCGGUCCUCACUAUGUAGCAAGCACACACACACACACACACACUUAAAGCGGUGGCAGGUGACAGGUGACACUUCUGUACCACGUUAGUGAUUUCUGUGAUUGUGUGUUGUAGUUGAAACGUUCACGCUCACUUUCUCCUGAAGGACUUCUGUGUGCAGCUGGAGUGACGACGGAGCAGGUGUGUUUCUGCGACGUUUGGAAAUCUAUUUUUAAAGCUGACAAAACAACCUGAGGAAGAUCAUGUGAUACGAUCAAAAGUCCGCCGUCGCCAAGGUCGAGACAAAACCUUUAAUCUGCAGUUUCAAAGUCAUUUUGUCAUUUAAACUCUGCAACUGAAAGUUACUGUAAAAAGAUUUAAAAGCGAUAAUUAAACGUGCCGACUUCAGUUUGAUUCUCUUUUAAAUGAUUUGUGAAAUUUUAAAUGUGUUUUCACACUUUUUGUCUCCUGCUUUAACAUUCAAGUGUAAUAUUGUAUGAACAAACUGUAAAGACAUUUAUUUCAUCCAUCAGGUCUAUUCAGAAUAAUCAAAUAGAGAUGCUCAGCAGUAAUAAUCUUUUAAUUGCAUUAUUUAACUGCAAAAUGAAUAAAUAACUAUUAUUAUAGACUAAUAACUAUUUUCUUAAAGUCCUGGUUCAGAAAUCGCUGCAGAAGACUGUAGAAAGGUUUAGAGGGCACGUGUGGUGAAAUUCAAAGACCUGCGUUAGUGUUUCAUGUGAUCCCAGAACUUCAAGAACUGGAUUUGGCUUAAACAUUCGAACAUUCUCAAGGCCGUCCGUUUUCAAAAACUUUAAAGGACUUUCCAGGACGGAAAAUGUUUGAUGCUCAGAUUAAAUGUGCGUUUCAAACUGCUCCCGUGUCAGUUGAACUUUAAUUCUUCAGUGUGAUUGUUACAGUUAUAACAUUGGGUGAAUGUGUAACGUGGUAAACGUGUUAAUCAGAGAUCCACAGCAGCGCUGCAGUUUAAGAAAACACAAA